rfam:Schistosoma curassoni strain Dakar, Senegal genome assembly, scaffold: SCTD_contig0006297
GCCUUGCUGACGAGUGCCAAAUAGCACGAAACUUAGGUUCAGGGU